UGGGGAAUAUUGCACAAUGGGGGAAACCCUGAUGCAGCGACGCCGCGUGAGGGAUGAAGGUACAGAGUAUCGUAAACCUCUUUUGUCAGGGAACAAAGGCGCCACGCGUGGCGCUCCGAGUGUACCUGAAGAAAAAGCAUCGGCUAACUCCGUGCCAGCAGCCGCGGUAAUACGGAGGAUGCGAGCGUUAUCCGGAUUUAUUGGGUUUAAAGGGUGCGUAGGCGGCGAGUUAAGUCAGCGGUAAAAGCCCGGGGCUCAACCCCGGCCCGCCGUUGAAACUGGCUUGCUUGAGUUGGAGAGAAGUAGGCGGAAUGCGCGGUGUAGCGGUGAAAUGCUUAGAUAUCGCGCAGAACUCCGAUUGCGAAGGCAGCCUACCGGCUCCAGACUGACGCUGAGGCACGAAAGCGUGGGUAUCGAACAGGAUUAGAUACCC
rnacentral:rRNA from 1 species